AUUGAACGCUGGCGGCAGGCCUAACACAUGCAAGUCGAGCGGAUGAAGGGAGCUUGCUCCUGGAUUCAGCGGCGGACGGGUGAGUAAUGCCUAGGAAUCUGCCUGGUAGUGGGGGAUAACGUCCGGAAACGGGCGCUAAUACCGCAUACGUCCUGAGGGAGAAAGUGGGGGAUCUUCGGACCUCACGCUAUCAGAUGAGCCUAGGUCGGAUUAGCUAGUUGGUGGGGUAAAGGCCUACCAAGGCGACGAUCCGUAACUGGUCUGAGAGGAUGAUCAGUCAAACUGGAACUGGGACACGGUCCAGACUCCUACGGGGGGCAGCAGUGGGGAAUAUUGGAAAAUGGGCGAAAGCCUGAUCCAGCCAUGCCGCGUGUGGGAAGAAGGUCUUCGGAUUGUAAAGCACUUUAAGUUGGGAGGAAGGGAAGUAAGUUAAUACCUUGCUGUUUUGACGUUACCAACAGAAUAAGCACCGGCUAACUUCGU
rnacentral:rRNA from 1 species